GCCGCUGACAAUUGCAGUUCAGUGGCUGAUCAUCGUCGAGAGGAUACGUCAUUCCUUUUCUGUUUGGCGGCACGCGAGUUGGUGAAAAAUUCACCGUCACGUUUGAAAAUUAUAAUUCCGUUAUUUAAACUAGAAAGUUUAAUAGUUCUAAGUGAAAUUACUGGAGUGUGAUAUUGAUAGUCGUAUUGAGCGAUAGGAGUCGAAUGCCAAUAUUGCGCAAAAAGGUACAAGUAGUUAACAUGCAAAUUCAUCUUGUUCCUAACCUUACAUUCUGGUUCCAGCAACCUAAUAUUCCGGUUCCGCACAACUCAGUAGUACAACUGAUGUUUAGUUGUGGAAAGCAUUCCAUUGUAAUUCCGUUUAUUAAAAAGAAACUAGCAGGUUUAAAGUUUAUCACAGAGGUAAUUUCUAUUCUAAAAUUAAAAAUUGAAAUAUGUCCUAAACUAAACCUAAAAUUACAGCACACACAUUGAACUUAACCUAAAAUUAAGAAAUCGUUCGGGUGUUAAAACUAGCUGUACACUGAAUAUGUAAGUAAAAUUGUAAUUGGAAAAGCCUAAACAUGCAACUAAAAUUUAAAUACAAUUGCAGCUUGAAGCUGUGUAAACUGCUCACGAGAUCAGCGUAUUUUUAUUCCACACACCCGCAACAUUUCUUCAAGAUAUUCAAUGGCCGAAUUCACGGAAACCAUCCGGACCAGCACUCCAGUGCCAACAACGGAGCAGUUCAACUGCGUCGCCUGCGAUAAACCGGACUCCAUGUGUGACAUGGUGCAGUGCGACACCUGCGAUCGGUGGUGGCACCAGCUCUGUGCCGGCGUGACGAAUUCGAUCGAGAAAGUCCCCUGGAGUUGUCGGGACUGCAUUCCGGCUGGCAGCGCGCCUUCUAUAAAAUCAUCACGCGCGCGCCAGGCCUCCCUCAAGUUGCAGCAGCUCGAUGUUCAGCGUGCCUUGGAAAGCCAGGCCAGAAAAGUAAAACUCCAGGCGAAAUUGGACGAUAUUGCCGCAGACCAGCAGUAUGUACAGGAUCGGUACAAUCUGCUGCGAGAAAACAACGAAGACGACGAUGAAGAAGAAAGUGUUAGGAGCCAAGGCAGUCACAGAGGCAACCGCCUACGAGUGGAAAACUGGCUCAACCAAACACAAGUUCCAAAUGUCAGUGCAGCAAAACCGGGCCUGACAAGUGGUCAGCCGCAGCCGCCGAUGAGCAGCGCGAUCACCGAGCAACAACCGAGGGAAGUCCUCACGAGGAUACAGCAGCAAGGUCGAAGCACUGGCGCGUAUCCGAAAAACAGCGCAGGAAGAAAUCCAUCCGCAUUUCUCAACCAAAAUGUCAAACCUUGGCCAGAUAACCAGGAAUGGAAUUCCUGGUCCGUCAUGGGUGUUCAUCAGUGGGAAUCCGUCCUGCUACAAAAAGGCCGUUUACAAAUGGAGGGUCCCAAAACCAAAUCGUUUGGUAUUCAACAACAUUCAACAGGAAGUGCCAACGUAGGUGCUAGGUCGAGUCAGGAGCACCUUGGUCUUGAAUAUCAGCCGUCGAACCAGCCAAAUCCGGUCAGCCGGGCAGCAAAAUCCAGACCUACUUUCCCAUCACUAGUUCCGUUGGCCCCACCUCUUGCCGCACCAAUUCAGCUUGCCUCCCAGGUCGAUGCGGGGAUUACCACCGGUACCUCAGGACAAAUUCCAACUUUUACGAGAUCCGGUUGUCAUUCAGCCCCUCGGAUCACACCAGCAACUAAUCCCUCGGAUCAAUUCGAGCCGGAAACGCCGAGAAGAAACCCGUCGCAUCCGUCGACGAAUCCAGGGGCACCAACCGACUUCGGGCAUCGAGUGCCAAAUCAGUCCAGCCAUCAACAACGUUUUGCCCAGCAACCGUGGCAGCCGAUCAACAACAGACAACAGCCAGAAACGAGUACGGUACCACUUCCACCCUUCAGGAACCACAUCAACGAACAAGGUAAGACUGCUCCAAUGUAUGCCCCAAAUGAAAAUGAAAUGCCUGCCCCUGAAUAUGACCCCCUCGAGCCUUUAAUGAACCAAUUAGGCCUUGAGCCAAAUGAACGCCCACAAUACACCCCAUUUAUAAAUACCUACCAACCAUCUCAAUCACAACUUGCGGCACGACAAUUAAUGGCCCACGAUCUCCCCAUCUUCGAUGGCAAUCCCUCUGAUUGGCCAAUAUUUGUGAGUACUUUCACCAACACCACCCUCGCCUGCGGUUACUCUCCCGUGGAAAAUCUAAACCGUCUACAACGCUCCUUGAAAGGUGCUGCCUUAGCAGCCGUUCGCAGCAAGCUCAUGCUCCCUGAUGCUGUUCCGCUCAUCAUGAAGACUCUUCGCGCCUUCUACGGCCGUCCCGAAUCGCUUAUCAAUUCCCUCUUGGAAAAGAUCCGCGUCUUACCAGCUCCAAAGCCCGAGAACCUGGGGUCACUGGCCGACUUUGGAAUGGAGGUGCAGAAUCUUUGUGACCACAUUGAAGCAGCGAAUCAACAAGCACAUAUGAACAAUCCCUCUCUCUUAUCGGAACUUGUUGAAAAAUUACCGGCGUUUGCUGCAUAUCAAUGGGCAGUCUACAGCAGUGGUUUGGCGAGUGUCAGUCUACGAGAAUUUGGUAAUUUCAUGUCGGAUUUGGUCAAGCAUGUCGGUAAGGUGACAAAGUAUCGUGGGGCGUUAGUGAAGGAAGACAAGCCUAGGGCGAAGCGUGGCGCUUUACACACACAUUCAGAAACACCAACUACAUCGAAGGAGGUCGCUGUUCCGAAAAAGUGUUCGCUUUGUACUCAAAAUCAUCCUCUCAAAGAUUGUCCGAAAUUCAAGUCGUUGGAUGUCGAUGGUCGUUGGCAUACGGUGCAAAGGGAAGGUAUUUGUCGCAAUUGUUUAAACUACCAUGGUCGAAGGACGUGUCGCAGCAACAGUCGGUGUGGAAUCGAAGGCUGCACAACUCGUCAUCAUCCUCUGCUCCAUUCAAAUCGCUCUUUCCAAAACAAGUCAUCCGCAUCAACAUCCAAUAGUCGAUCAAAUCCUACUCCAACAGCUCCGGUGCAGAAAGCACCAGUAUCCGGUGAAUGUCUAACACAUCGUAGCCCAGAAAACAAGUUUCUCUUCCGUAUACUUCCGAUAACAGUUCAUGGUGCAGGAAAGUCAAUUGAUACACAUGCCUUUGUUGAUGAAGGAUCCUCUCUCACACUUGUUGAGCAAUCUCUUGUUAAAGAAUUAGGUGCGAAGGGAACUCCACGAGUUUUAUGUUUGACAUGGACAGGCAAAAUAUCUCGAACUGAUAGAGAAUCGGAAGUUUUAGACUUGACUAUCUCCGGCCAGAACAACAUGAAAGUUUGUUUGAAAGAUUCACGUACUGUCAAGAACUUAUCCCUGAGCAAGCAAUCUCUCGAUUUUUCGCAUCUUUCCGAACAAUUUCCGCACCUGAAAGGGCUUCCUGUCGCUUCGUAUACCAAUAUAACUCCUCGUUUGCUCAUUGGUUUGAACAAUCUCAACUUAACUGUCCCAUUGCGCAUUAAAGAAGGCCAGCCAGGAGCGCCUACAGCAGCAAAAACAAGGCUUGGUUGGUGCUUGUAUGGCGGAGUAGCGGAGAAUAGCUCAUUAUCCAUGGUCAACUACCACACCUGUUCAUGUACGGCCGACAAUUCUUUGCACGAUCUAGUUCGGGAUUAUUUCAGAAGAGAGGACGUAGGUGUAUCACCUGCGAUACAGAUAGAGUCAGAUGCUGACACAAGAGCACGGCGUAUUCUGCAGACAACUACGUCACGAUGUGGUGAUCGAUUUCAAACGGGUCUACUCUGGCGAUUCGACGAAUUUGAACUUCCGGACAGUCGCCCGAUGGCAUACAAACGCUGGGAAUGCUUGCAACGUAGAAUGAACCGUCAGCCUCAGUUGCGACUCAAUCUUGAACUGCAAAUAAAGAGCUACAUCGAAAAGGGCUAUGCCCACCGUGCAACUGAAGAGGAGCUAAUUGAUUCCGACCCGAGACGCACUUGGUUUCUUCCGCUUGGAGCGGUCAUCAAUCCUAAAAAGCCAGAGAAGGUGCGCAUGAUAUGGGACGCUUCCGCCACCGUAGACGGAAUUUCCCUGAACACAAUGCUAUUGAAAGGCCCUGACGAACUCAAUCCUCUACCUUGGGUCCUGUUUCGUUUCCGGCAAUUUCCCGUGGCCAUUUCAGCGGAUAUUGCGGAAAUGUUCCACCAGAUUAGAAUCAUCGAAAAAGACAGGCAAGCUCAGCGCUUUCUCUGGAACCCGGAUCCACAAGGUCAACCAGAAGUUUACACCAUGAACGUAGCUACCUUCGGUUCCACCUGUUCUCCCGCAUCUGCGCACUACGUUAUGACUCUGAACGCCAAGCAAAACGAAAAACAAUAUCCCAGGGCAGUAGAGGGAAUAGUUAAAAGAACCUACGUUGAUGAUUACGCAGAUAGUUUUGAGAACGAAGAAGAAGCGUCACGAAUAGCGGGUGAAGUCAAAUUGAUUCAUGCCAAGGGUGGAUUCAACAUAAGAGGCUGGAUGUCUAACAGUUCUAAGGUCCUCGAAAGCCUCGGAGAAGCCGAAACCUCACAGCCGAAAUCGCUAAACUUGGAGAACCCAAGGGGUUAUGAACGCAUCUUAGGUAUGCACUGGACGUCGAAAGAAGAUAGCCUGGGGUUCUCGACCAUUCUACCUCCAGAUAUCAACGAAUUGCUAGCCACCGGUAACCGUCCGACAAAACGACAACUGCUACGAUGCCUUAUGAGCUUCUUUGAUCCUCUCGGGCUCCUUGCAGCUAUCAUUCUCCAUGGGAAGAUUCUCCUCCAAGAUGUCUGGAGAGCAGGAACGCAAUGGGAUGAGCCAAUAGACAACAAUGCCUUCGAAAAAUGGUUACGGUGGACGAAAUGUUUCCCGAAGAUUGCCGAAAUUUCCAUUCCUCGCUGUUACUUCCAAGAAGCAUCCCGGGAACUUUAUCAAGAUCUUGAACUCCAUAUUUUCGUUGACGCAAGCGAAGAAGCUUACGCCGCUGUAGCGUAUUUUCGCGUCUCCACUCCUGAAGGAUUUAUCUGCUCUCUAGUAUCCGCUAAAACCAAGGUAGCCCCUUUAAAACACUGGUCCAUACCUCGUCUUGAGUUGCAAGCAGCCGUGAUAGGAGUUCGAUUGAGGAAAUUCAUCGUAGACGGACAUUCACUGAACAUUCGACGCACCGUUUUCUGGUCUGACUCAAGCACUGUCCUCGCAUGGAUUCGUUCGGACCACCGACGUUACACCCAGUUUGUUGCGUGUCGUGUAGGCGAAAUACUCUCGAACAGUGAAAUCUCCGAAUGGCGUUGGGUCCCUUCGAAACUCAACAUUGCAGAUCAUGCUACGAAGUGGUUCAACGAGAUUGAGAUCCAACAAGAUUCCGCUUGGUUUAGCGGACCCGAAUUCCUGAAAGAGUCCGAAGAAAACUGGCCUCAACCUAGAUCGUCUACGACUACUACUGAAGAACUCAAGAUACCCUGUCUCGUCCAUCAACUUUCUGAAACUCAAACAACUGUCGACUUCACCAGAUUUUCUAAAUGGGAGAGAGUCUUAAGAACCACUGCUUAUGUGAACCGUUACAUUGCCCUCAAGACAAACCGUGUGAAAAUUUUUCCAGAACAUCUUGGUCAGCAGGAACUCCGUGAUGCCGAAAAUUCACUGUUCGGGAAUGCCCAAUGGUGUUCAUAUCCUGCCGAAAUGAGCGUUGCGGUUCACAAUCGAGGAAAAUCGACAGAACAACGAAAUGAUCUACCGAAACAAAGCAUUCUUCGCCAAAUGUCACCGUACUUGGAUGAAAACGGCGUUCUUCGCGUCGACAGCCGUAUCGGUGCAGCAAAACGUGUGUCAACGUGCACUAAGUAUCCAGUGAUUCUUCCUCAAUACCAUCGACUAACCGACUUGAUCAUAGACUUCUACCAUCGAAAAUACAUCCACUGCAACUUCGAAACCGUCGUCAAUGAGUUGCGCCAGCGAUUCUACAUUCCCCGUAUUCGACAAACAGUGAAGCGUGUCCUUCGACAAUGCCAGUGGUGCAAAAUCUAUAAAUCCAAACCCCAGGUUCCUCGGAUGGCACCUUUACCGGAAGCAAGACUUGCCGCAUAUACUCGUCCCUUCAGUUACACCGGGCUGGACUUAUUUGGACCAAUACUAGUGAAGUCUGGGAGACAAGCGCUGAAAAGAUGGGUCGCCCUCUUCACGUGCUUGACCAUCAGAGCUGUGCACGUAGAGGUCGUUUACAGUUUGAGCACCGAGUCGUGCAUUAUGAGCAUACGUCGUUUCAUCGGAAGGCGAGGAGCUCCAAUCGAGAUCCAUUCAGACAACGGGACGAAUUUCCGUGGCGCUGAUAAUAUCCUGCAACAACAAGUCCGGCAGUUCCACGAGAACAUGGCAGUAACGUUCACCAACGUGGAUACAAAAUGGGUAUUCAUUCCACCAGGCACUCCUCACAUGGGCGGUUCGUGGGAGCGCCUGGUACGCUCUGUGAAAACAGCGCUAGAGGGGAGCAUGAUUCCGGGAAGAAAGUUGGACGACGAGGCCUUCUACACACUGCUGGUAGACGCUGAAGGAAUCGUCAACAGUCGACCGUUGACCUACUUACCCAUCGAGUCAGAAGAAGCAGAAGCAUUAACUCCCAACCAUUUUUUGUUGGGAAGCAGCAAUGGUGUCAAACAACCGGAGUCGGGACCGAUCAGCGAAGCCAAUGGGUUGAGAAACGCGUGGAGCCAGAUAAAUCUACAACUUGAUCGCUUUUGGAGUCGUUGGGUGCGCGAAUACCUCCCGACCAUGACGCAACGGUCAAAAUGGUUCGGUGAGACGAAACCGGUUCGUUUGGGAGACUUGGUGGUUGUGGUAAAUGAAGCAAGGAGAAAUGGCUGGGUUCGAGGGCGGGUGUUGGAACUGGUUCCUGGGUCAGAUGGGCGCAUUAGAAGGGCAGUCGUGCAGACAAAUAAGGGACUCACUCGUCAAUCUGUUGCAAAGCUAGCAGUCUUAGAGGUCGCACAAGGAGGAAACCCUGGAUCUAACACUUCAGAUACCAGUGUUACGGGAGGGGGGAUGUUGGAAACUGGCACCCCUGCCUAAGCACUUUCCGACAGGCCGCUGACAAUUGCAGUUCAGUGGCUGAUCAUCGUCGAGAGGAUACGUCAUUCCUUUUCUGUUUGGCGGCACGCGAGUUGGUGAAAAAUUCACCGUCACGUUUGAAAAUUAUAAUUCCGUUAUUUAAACUAGAAAGUUUAAUAGUUCUAAGUGAAAUUACUGGAGUGUGAUAUUGAUAGUCGUAUUGAGCGAUAGGAGUCGAAUGCCAAUAUUGCGCAAAAAGCAACCUAAUAUUCCGGUUCCGCACAACUCAGUAGUACAACUGAUGUUUAGUUGUGGAAAGCAUUCCAUUGUAAUUCCGUUUAUUAAAAAGAAACUAGCAGGUUUAAAGUUUAUCACAGAGGUAAUUUCUAUUCUAAAAUUAAAAAUUGAAAUAUGUCCUAAACUAAACCUAAAAUUACAGCACACACAUUGAACUUAACCUAAAAUUAAGAAAUCGUUCGGGUGUUAAAACUAGCUGUACACUGAAUAUGUAAGUAAAAUUGUAAUUGGAAAAGCCUAAACAUGCAACUAAAA